AACGAACGCUGGCGGCAUGCCUAACACAUGCAAGUCGAACGAAGCCUUCGGGCUUAGUGGCGCACGGGUGCGUAACGCGUGGGAAUCUGCCCUUGGGUACGGAAUAACAGUUAGAAAUGACUGCUAAUACCGGAUGAUGUCUUCGGACCAAAGAUUUAUCGCCCAAGGAUGAGCCCGCGUAGGAUUAGGUAGUUGGUGGGGUAAUGGCCCACCAAGCCGACGAUCCUUAGCUGGUCCGAGAGGAUGAUCAGCCACACUGGGACUGAGACACGGCCCAGACUCCUACGGGAGGCAGCAGUGGGGAAUAUUGGACAAUGGGCGAAAGCCUGAUCCAGCAAUGCCGCGUGAGUGAUGAAGGCCUUAGGGUUGUAAAGCUCUUUUACCAGGGAUGAUAAUGACAGUACCUGGAGAAUAAGCUCCGGCUAACUCCGUGCCAGCAGCCGCCGUAAAAC
rnacentral:rRNA from 1 species